UACGUAGGGUGCGAGCGUUAAUCGGAAUUACUGGGCGUAAAGCGUGCGCAGGCGGUUAUGUAAGACAGAUGUGAAAUCCCCGGGCUCAACCCGGGGAACUGCGUCCGAUACUGGCAGGCUUGAAUCCGGGAGAGGGAUGCGGAAUUCCAGGUGUAGCGGUGAAAUGCGUAGAUAUCUGGAGGAACACCGGUGGCGAAGGCGGCAUCCUGGACCGGCAUUGACGCUGAGGCGCGAAAGCCAGGGGAGCAAAGCGGG
rnacentral:rRNA from 1 species